rnacentral:rRNA from 1 species
CUACGGGAUGCAGCAGUGGGGAAUAUUGCACAAUGGGGGAAACCCUGAUGCAGCAACGCCGCGUGAGGGACGACGGCCUUCGGGUUGUAAACCUCUUUUAGCAGGGAAGAAGCGAAAGUGACGGUACCUGCAGAAAAAGCACCGGCUAACUACGUGCCAGCAGCCGCGGUAAUACGUAGGGUGCAAGCGUUGUCCGGAAUUAUUGGGCGGAAAGAGCUCGUAGGCGGUUUGUCGCGUCUGCUGUGAAAAUCCGAGGCUCAACCUCGGACCUGCAGUGGGUACGGGCAAACUAGAGUGCGGUAGGGGAGAUUGGAAUUCCUGGUGUAGCGGUGGAAUGCGCAGAUAUCAGGAGGAACACCAAUGGCGAAGGCAGAUCUCUGGGCCGUAACUGACGCUGAGGAGCGAAAGCGUGGGGAGCGAACAGGAUUAGAUACCCGGGUAGUC